rnacentral:misc_RNA from 1 species
GAUGAAGAACGCAGCAAAAUGCGAUAAGUAAUGUGAAUUGCAGAAUUCAGUGAAUCAUCGAAUCUUUGAACGCGCAUUGCGCCCGCUGGUAUUCCGGCGGGCAUGCCUGUUCGAGCGUCAUUUCAACCCUCAAGCCCCCCGGGUUUGGUGUUGGGGAUCGGCUCUGCCUCACGGCGGUGCCGCCCCCGAAAUACAUUGGCGGUCUCGCUGCAGCCUCCAUUGCGUAGUAGCUAACACCUCGCAACUGGAACGCGGCGCGGCCAUGCCGUAAAACCCCAACUUCUGAAUGUUGACCUCGGAUCAGGUAGGAAUACCCGCUGAACUUAAGCAUAUCAAUAAGCGGAGGA